GUUGGUGUAGCGCAGUGGUAGAGUGCAUGUGUGUAUGUAUGAUGUCAUGGGUUCAAUCCCCAGCUUCUCCC
rnacentral:tRNA from 1 species